rnacentral:rRNA from 1 species
CCUACGGGCGGCUGCAGUGGGGAAUAUUGCACAAUGGGCGCAAGCCUGAUGCAGCCAUGCCGCGUGUGUGAAGAAGGCCUUCGGGUUGUAAAGCACUUUCAGCGGGGAGGAAGGCGGUGAGGUUAAUAACCUCAUCGAUUGACGUUACCCGCAGAAGAAGCACCGGCUAACUCCGUGCCAGCAGCCGCGGUAAUACGGAGGGUGCAAGCGUUAAUCGGAAUUACUGGGCGUAAAGCGCACGCAGGCGGUCUGUCAAGUCGGAUGUGAAAUCCCCGGGCUCAACCUGGGAACUGCAUUCGAAACUGGCAGGCUAGAGUCUUGUAGAGGGGGGUAGAAUUCCGGGUGUAGCGGUGAAAUGCGUAGAGAUCUGGAGGAAUACCGGUGGCGAAGGCGGCCCCCUGGACAAAGACUGACGCUCAGGUGCGAAAGCGUGGGGAGCAAACAGGAUUAGAUACCCCUGUAGUC